UGUAACGGCGAGUGAAGAGGGAAAAGCUCAAAUUUUAAAUCUGGUGUCUUUGACUCCCGAUUGUAAUCUAGAGAAGUGUUUUCCGUGUCGGACCGUGUACAAGUUCCCUGGAACGGGGCUCAUAGAGGGUGAGAAUCCCGUAUAUGCCAUGGACUACCGAUGCUCUGUGAUACACUCUAACGAGUCGAGUUGUUUGGGAAUGCAGCUCAAAAUGGGUGGUAAAUUCCAUCUAAAGCUAAUAUUGGCGAGAGACCGAUAGCGAACAAGUACCGUGAGGGAAAGAUGAAAAGCACUUUGAAAGAGAGUGAAACAGUACGUGAAAUUGUUGAAAGGGAAACGCUUGAAGU
rnacentral:rRNA from 1 species